AUGAGGAUAUUGCUUGUACUCUGGUGUACUCAUGUUACCAUGCUGUGCCAAGUAAAGAACCUUUGCUAUAUGCCACCCUUGUUAAAUUUGUCUCCAUGGCUUAAUUUUGGUUCGAAUGGUCUACUGUAUUGUGCUGAUGGUUAUUUCUGUGUAUGUCUGUUUGUGUCGUGCCAUUGUUAUUGCCAAAGGGCAUGGUAA
rnacentral:rRNA from 1 species